rnacentral:tRNA from 1 species
GAGGGCAUAGCUCAGUGGUAGAGCACAUGCAUAGCAUGCAUGUGGUCCUGAGUUCAAUCCCCAGUCCCUCCA